UCUCUGCUUGGGUGGGUCUCAGCCCAGCACCAAAUGGCCCAGGGAAGGGCAAGGCUUGUGUGGCUGGCCCCCUCAUGGUGAGUGGCUGAGUCCUCACAGCAGGGUGGCCUGGGGCUGAUGGACCGAGACACAGUCCACAUGGCACAUGGAGUCCUGGAGCCCAAAAUGCCAUCUCUUCCAUCCACCAGCAUCCAGAGAGAUGCCCCGCUGAGUUCAGGAAUGUCGUGGGUGUGUGUGUGGGAGUAGGGAAUGAGUAGGUGUCUGCAAGCUAGAGUCUCCACCAGGAGCACUCACUCUGGGCAAGGUUGGAGGCCCCCGCCAGCACACCCGGGCUGACUGGCCAGUGAGACUGCUCCCUGAGUGGUCUCCAAGUCUCUUCCAGUGCAUGCAGUGGAGCAGCCUCCCCCUCUGUCCUGGGGAGGUGGGGUCAGGAGGGGAAACUGAGACAGGACAGGGCCCAGCUUUCUAACCCCAGGCCAGGUGAGGCAGUAUCCUGAUGUCCGGAUUCCCUGCUGGGGAGGCUACAGAAGGAGUGGGAGAGAAUUGGACCCUAUGCGGCCGCUCAAGGCACCUACCAGCUGAGCCCCGAGCCAGCUCCCGCAUCACAUGUCUGCCCUUGGCCCUGUACCUAUUAUUACCAGUCCAGGGACCGAAGCGGGACAGACACAGCUCGCACGGGGAGCAGCGGGAGGUGGUGCGUCAAGGAGUAGAAGCCGGGCUCUGCGGGAAGACUUUGGAGGCCGGGAGAUGUGGGCGAGUAGGGAGCCCCCACCAAGACCUCUGUCUGCACUCUCCAGAUCCUGGCACCUGAUGGGAAGACACUGGCAACCCACCAAGUGUUUGCUGCUGAGAGCUGUGAAGGGUCUUCAACAGGAGCAGCCGGACCACAUAAGCUUCUGAAAGGCCCUCCUGGCUGGAAAUGAUGUCAUGGGAAGGGGCCAGCACCACAGCCAGAGCUGAGUUUCAACUGUCAGGGGUAAGAGGAAGAAGCUGCCGAGGGCUGAGGACACCCCGAUGGGAAGGGAGCAGAGGUACUGGGAGGCUGGUGGCCCCAGACGGUGGGGGGAUAGAGGAGUCGGGUCAGCAGGCCAGGCUGCUCCACCUGGGAGAGCAGCAGGGACUCAGGUGCUGGCGACAGGAGGGUUUUGUUGGUUUAUUUAUUUACCUCUUAAGACUGGAAAAGAUGUACAGUAAGGGUGUGGAGAGGGAAAGGCCUCCUCCACCCUUCCCCAUUCCCCCUUUGCCAAGACCUGUGUCCUGACCAGUCCUCCCAUACAUUUUCAAACUGAUGUGUAAACCCCAGGUCAGGUUUGGGUUGGUCUCUUUUAGUAACUGGAAUCAUGCUGUGUGUGUUGUUCUUUGAUAUGCUUGUUGGAGAUGUUUCCAGUGCAGCACACUCCUUUUAGCCUCUGCAUGAUGGUCCAUAGAAUCAGUGUUCACCAUCCUGAUGGACAUUUGGGUUGUUUCAUUCUGCUCUAAUUGUGCCCACUUUCGUGCACACAUUUGAGUACAGGGCUGGGGUUUGGGGGGAGAGUCUCAGUGUGAGUCCCUGCCCAUCUCAAGAGAAGGAGUGUUGACUUGGCAUCCAGCAGGCACCCCACUGUAGCCAAGCCGGGUGGGAGAGCAGCGGAUUUGUGGAUUUGGGACUCAGAAGUCCAAAGGCACCAAUGUGACCAGGUAAGGGUUUGCUUCUGGGCUACAGAAAGGGCUGCAGGCCCAGACAUGUCCACUAGAUGGCGCCAAAGCCAGUACAAUGAGGCCUGGGCUUCGAAGCCCCAGUUGCUGCAGGGGAAGUGAGUAGUUCCAGUGUCUGACUCCUUAGACCCUAGAAGAUAGGUGAAGAUUCUUUCAAGGUGCCAGUUGCCUUACUUAUACACCUUGGAGGUUGUGGGGAGCAGAGCAACCAUGCACUCAUGGUUUUACAGGUAGAGCCCUGCCUGAGGGCUCUGGCCAUGAUGGGGGCUGAAAUUCAGGCUGUGGGACAUAGAUGACAACCCAGGGGAGAAGCUGUUUCUUCUAAUUCAUACAAGUUUAGAAAGUGCCUGUGGUGGCCGGGGUCGGGGAGAAACUACAGCAAGACAGCUGGCGCUCCGUAUUGCAGUACCUGCAGAGGAACUCAGCUCCUGGGGCCCAAUGAGACCAGGAUUCUCUCUGCUGGGCACUGAAGGUUCCUGAUGGCUCUAGAUAGUCCUGUCUCUGGAAGAAGUUCGCUGUCAGGAGACAAGGUGUGGCUGAGUGGAUUUCCUGGAGAGGGGUGAGCAUCUCCCACCACAGGAUGGUGACGUCAUGCCUGGAAUCUGGGGAGCCUGACUGCUUUGGAAGUGCUGUUCACUGAGGAGAGACUUCCCAUCUGCAUUCUCUCUCUGGGACAUGCCCCCUGGGAUCCAGGUAGGCCAUCUACACCUGAAGCCACCAAGCUGGAGGGACCACAUGUCUCCAGAGAUGUCAAGGGCCUCACUAUUCCGGUCUCAGCACAGGAGCCAGACCUGCUGACGCUGUACCCCAGUCCUUGAGCUGCCCCAGCUAACACAGAGUGGAGCAGAGAUGGGCUGGCCCUGCCCAAAUUGCACAUUCAUUAACAAAAUAAUACUGUUUUAGGUCACUCUGGUUGGGGGAAGGGGUGUUGUUUCACAGCAUCAGGAAAUGAAACACAAGACCUAAAGCUGGGGGUGACUAACCAUCUGGUUUGUCGGGGACUGAAGUUUCCAGGACUCAAGACUUUCAGUGGUAACACUGGGUGAAUCCCAGGCACAUGGAUGAAGCAGUAGUUCUCAAACUUCCUUGUGCAUCCGAAACACUUGGAGAGGGAGGGUAUAGCUCAGUGGUAGAAUUCAUGCCUAGCA